UUAAGUUCAGCGGGUAUCCCUACCUGAUCCGAGGUCGACCUUAUAAUAGUUGGGGUUGCUGGCAAGCACCCUCAAGACCCUAUAGCGAGAAAAUUACUACGCGUAGAGCUUAAGAGCACCGCCACUGGGUUUAAGAGAGGCCGGACGGCCAGCUCCAAGUCCACCACGGGGGUGAUUUGGUCAAAAUGACGCUCGAACAG
rnacentral:misc_RNA from 1 species